rnacentral:rRNA from 1 species
GACGAACGCUGGCGGCGCGCCUAACACAUGCAAGUCGAACGGAAUCAAGAGGAGCUUGCUUUUCUUGAUUUAGUGGCGAACGGGUGAGUAACGCGUGAGUAACCUGCCCUGGAGUGGUGGACAACACUUGGAAACGACUGCUAAUACCGCAUCAGCCCACGGUACCGCCGGGUACUGAGGGAAUAGGAUUUAUUCGCUUCAGGAUGGCCUCGAGUCCAAUUAGCUAGUUGGUGAGGCAACAGCCCACCAAGGCGACGAUUGGUAGCCGGACUGAGAGGUUGAACGGCCACAUUGGGACUGAGACACGGCCCAGACUCCUACGGGAGGCAGCAGUGGGGGAUAUUGCACAAUGGGGGAAACCCUGAUGCAGCGACGCCGCGUGGAGGAAGAAGGUUUUCGGAUUGUAAACUCCUGUCGUUAGGGACGAUAAUGACGGUACCUAACAAGAAAGCACCGGCUAACUACGUGCCAGCCGCCGCCGUAA